rnacentral:lncRNA from 1 species
GGAUUUCGACUUUUAUGGAAAUCGGCUAUGAAGGUUUUGUGGAGGAUGGGAUUGACAGAGGAGGUGAGUAAGGUGAUCAGAAGGUUUUGGCUAGAAGAAAAAGCAAAAAGGAAGAAAGAAUAUGAAAGAGAAAUAGAGGAAGAAGAAAUCGGUACCAAGGAGAAGGAAUUUGCGUUUUCAGGUUUUGUGAGAACUCAAAGAGGAUGAAUGAAAGUGAAAGCUUUCAGGUGGCUAACCCUAAUUCUCCAAGAUAGAAAAAGAAAAGAACCUAACCCUAAUAUCAACUAAAACAAUAGGCCCAACCUCCCUAAGUCCAUUGCCGAAAUUCACUUAAGUGAUCACAUGCCCGGC